UAAAAGAUGUUAAUCUUGAAGCUUACGAGUCAAGUGUCUUUUGUGUAUCUUCUUAAAUAAUGGAUGUGAAUCUUCCCUCAUUAUUAUUUCUCAAACACCAUAUGUUUUAAUGUGAUUAUGAUUCUUAAACUGUGAUUUUGGAAACCAAAAUUGAGGUUUUGUUGCAUAUGAUUGAGUAUUAUUUACUCUUGGUUUAACUUAUGUUUAUACAUGUUUUUGGUCAUGGUUGCACAUGUGGGUGCUGGG
rnacentral:lncRNA from 1 species